rnacentral:rRNA from 1 species
AAGUGUCUCCUGCUAAAGGACCCUUUGGUUAUUGUAGAAUCACUGGUGAAUAAGGGGUGGGUAAGUUCUGGUGUCAGCCGCCGCGGUAAAACCAGCACCUCGAGUGGUCAGGAGGUUUAUGGGCCUAAAGCAUCCGUAGCCGGUUGCAUAAGUUUUCGGUUAAAUCUAUGCGCUUAACGUAUAGGCCGCCGAAAAUACUGUGCAGCUAGGGAGUGGGAGAGGUACACGGUACUCGAUAGGAAGGGGUAAAAUCCUUUGAUCUAUUGAUGACCACCUGUGGCGAAGGCGGUGUACCAGAACACGUUCGACGGUGAGGGAUGAAAGCUGGGGGAGCAAACCGGAUUAGAUACCCGGGUAGUCCCAGCUGUAAACGAUGCAGACUCGGUGAUGCAUUGGCUUGUGGCCAAUGCAGUGCCGCAGGGAAGCCGUUAAGUCUGCCGCCUGGGAAGUACGUACGCAAGUAUGAAACUUAAAGGAAUUGGCGGGGGAGCACCACAAGGGGUGAAGCCUGCGGUUCAAUUGGAGUCAACGCCAGAAAUCUUACCUGGGGAGACAGCAGAAUGAAGGUCAAGCUGAAGACUUUACCAGACACGCUGAGAGGUGGUGCAUGGCCGUCGCCAGCUCGUGCCGUGAGAUGUCCUGUUAAGUCAGGUAACGAGCGAGACCCCUGCGUCUAGUUGCUACCAUUACUCUCUGGAGCAGUGGAGCGAAUUAGACGGACCGCCACAGUUAAUGUGGAGGAAGGAAGGGGCCACGGCAGGUCAGUAUGCCCCGAAACCCUAGGGCUACACGCGGGCUGCAAUGGUAUUGACAUGUGUUCCGAAUCCGAAAGGAGGAGGCAAUCAUCAAACAUAUCUCAGUUAUGACUGAGGGCAUAACUCGCCCUCACGAAUAUGGAAUCCCUAUAACCGCCGGGCUACCGCCCG